GGCCUAACACAUGCAAGUCGAGCGGAAACGACACUAACAAUCCUUCGGGUGCGUUAAUGGGCGUCGAGCGGCGGACGGGUGAGUAAUGCCUAGGAAAUUGCCUUGAUGUGGGGGAUAACCAUUGGAAACGAUGGCUAAUACCGCAUAAUGCCUACGGGCCAAAGAGGGGGACCUUCGGGCCUCUCGCGUCAAGAUAUGCCUAGGUGGGAUUAGCUAGUUGGUGAGGUAAUGGCUCACCAAGGCGACGAUCCCUAGCUGGUCUGAGAGGAUGAUCAGCCACACUGGAACUGAGACACGGUCCAGACUCCUACGGGAGGCAGCAGUGGGGAAUAUUGCACAAUGGGCGAAAGCCUGAUGCAGCCAUGCCGCGUGUAUGAAGAAGGCCUUCGGGUUGUAAAGUACUUUCAGUUGUGAGGAAGGGGGUAGCGUUAAUAGCGCUAUCUCUUGACGUUAGCAACAGAAGAAGCACCGGCUAACUCCGUGCCAGCAGCCGCGGUAAUACGGAGGGUGCGAGCGUUAAUCGGAAUUACUGGGCGUAAAGCGCAUGCAGGUGGUUCAUUAAGUCAGAUGUGAAAGCCCGGGGCUCAACCUCGGAACUGCAUUUGAAACUGGUGAACUAGAGUACUGUAGAGGGGGGUAGAAUUUCAGGUGUAGCGGUGAAAUGCGUAGAGAUCUGAAGGAAUACCAGUGGCGAAGGCGGCCCCCUGGACAGAUACUGACACUCAGAUGCGAAAGCGUGGGGAGCAAACAGGAUUAGAUACCCU
rnacentral:rRNA from 1 species